rnacentral:lncRNA from 10 species
CUCAGGUGAUCCAUCCACCUUGGCUUCCCAAAGUGUUGGAAUUACAGGUGUGAGCCAGCAUGCCUGGCCCAGGACUAAUUUUUAAUAUUCCAUUUGUACUUCAUGUUCUAAGUUUUUUUUCUCACUUAAGUCUUUUGUAUUGAUUAAUUUACUGUACUCCAUGUCCCCUUUUUAACAGCUUUAUUAUUGAUAUACCAAUGAUAUAAAAAUAAACUAGACAUAUUUAAAGUGUACCAUUUCAUGCUCUUUGACAUACAGAUAUACCUGUGAACCCGUUGUCAGAAUCAAGAUAUUGAACAUGUAGAUUUUCCUCACAAGUGUCUUUACAACCCUUUGUAAUUUAUCAUACUCAUCCUUCACCUAUCUUCAGGCAACCAGUGAUCUGCUUUCUAUUAUCAUGGAUUAGUUUUCUUGCUCUGCAUAUUAUGUAUAAUCAUACAGUGUAAAUUCUAUUUUGUCUGACUUCUUUCACUAAGCAUAAGUCUGAAAUUUAUUCAUGUUUGUUCAUGUAUCAGUGGCUUGCCUUUUUUUGUGCUAAGUAAUAUUCUAUUGUAUGAGUAUAUUAAAGUUUUUUAAUUCAUUCACUA